rnacentral:lncRNA from 1 species
GGUUGUCGCGAACGAACGCAGCCGGGAAAUGAAAAGCCAUAGGGCUCCUCAAGCUGUAUGUUGCCGUUGCAGAUCGUUCUGAGGAGAGUAUAAGGGAAGAGGUCGCGUGCAUUUAAGCGUUGUAUCACCUAAGCAUACUACUCGAGGGAUUCGUUCUAACAUGCCGGCAGUCUCUACGAAAAAAUAUGAACGCCGGUUCUUGAGGUUCUGUGCCUGGUGCUCAACAAUGAUAUGUGUGGUGUGUCAGCUCGGGCAGUUGGACUCAUAUUCUGCAGUUGGGCCACUGUGGCCUAUUGUUACGUCCUCUGCUCGCGGGGGCUCUCGUGGGCGUUGUCUCUGAUGCCGCUGAAAUGUGAGGUGAAGUUACGUUCUUUUAUUUCGUUCUCGUGACACUCCGUAGGCUUGCCUCCGUACUGUGGUUUUUUCUGUAUGGUGUGGGUUAUAUGCCGC